rnacentral:ncRNA from 1 species
CUUAUAAAGAAAGGUGGAGGGAUAGGCCCGACGAAACCUUGGCAACCUCUUCGAUUCAAAGAAAAAGGUGCCAAUUCCUUUCCCGAUCGUAGCAUCGGGAUAAGAUAAG